CACGUCUCUGGUGGCCUUGUCGUCGUCGUCACCUAGGUGAGCAGCCUCUCCACCACAAACUUGCCUCUGCCUCCUCCUCUUUGCGUCCUGACCGCCGGCCUUGUUUUCCCCCAUAGGAGCUCGUCCGUUUCCCGAGAUCUCCACCGACCGCGCCCUUCGACGGGAACCACGUCGUCCGGCUCGUCCCGCCUCCUGCGGGCCUCCCCGUCGCCUGCCGGAGUUCCUGCUGCCGCCAUCGUCGUUCGAGGCUAGUGCCUCUGCUUCGAACCAGGGUGCCGACGCCUCCAGCGCCUGCGUUGACCGAGCACAGCCUAGCCGACCCAGUUCGCCUCUGCCUCACAGGGCCAAGCCCAUGGGUGAGCAGCCCCCUCCAACCCCUCUCCUGUGCUAUUUGGCCCAGACAGAUUUGGCCCAUUCUUGUUUUUUCCCGUUCCAGCGAAUUUAGCAUUAUUCCAGGAAUUACAGAAUUGCAGAAAACCCCUCAGACAUCAUGAAUAUAAUAACUAAUUAACCAUGCAUCGGAUUAAAAUAUUUUACAUAUGUAAAAUGCUUAGAAUUUUAUGUAGAUUAAUAAUUUGCCACUUUCAUCCAUGUUAAAAAUAUUUAAAUUGUUGUUUGCAUUUAUUUUGCAUAAUGUCAUGCUAAAAUAAUUUAUUUCCUAACUAAACAACCGUAGCUCCGAAUUAAAUAAACUUCAUAUGUAAAUGGGGUAGAAAAAUGCGUAGAUUAACUUGGUGCACUUAUUUUGGAUGUUUAUCAACAAUAAAAUAUGGUUUAGGGCAGAACAGUACCAAACUCGAAAAAUGCAUAUGAGGAUUUUCCGGAAUUGUUGUUUGUUAUUUCCGGCCUAAUUUAAACUUGCCUAAACAGGUAGUUUACUCAUGCUUCACCUCUUGCCAUGUUAACCAACAUUUAAUAUUGAUGAGUAGCUAAACGAGAAUGAACUAAAUAAUUGUUGUGCAUAUUGAGCUGCACUUAAUUUGUUUUAUUGUUUGUUGCACCUUGCCAUGCCAUGAAUCAUUAAACCGGACAUGCAUCACACUCGAUUGUGCAUCAUGCCAUGUUUAUGUGAUGAUCAUUUACUAUGUUGUUUGCUUCUUUCCGGUUGCGUUUCUCCUUGAUAGUUCCGGUUAUGUUGCGAUUUUGAGGAUCCGUCCGAGUACGUUGGUUCGUCUACUUCAUGGAUUCGGUCUUCUUCCUAGCGGGAUUUCAGGCAAGAUGACUGUCACCUUGGAUCCCACGACUGAGACGAGAUACGCGCGGCUACUAUCAGGGUGUCGGCACGUCGAGAGGUCUUGAUAGACUUGUUUUACCAUUGUCGAAAUGUCUUGUGCAUCGGGAUUCCGAGUCUGAUCGGAGGGUCCCGAGAUGGAGGAUUGUCUUCGCAGAUCGUGAGCUUGUCAUGGGCUAAGUUGGGACACCCCUGCAGGGUUUAAACUUCCGAGAGCCGUGCCCGCGUUUAUGUGGCAGAUGGGAAUUUUUAAUAUCUGGUUGUAGAGAACUUGACACCAGACCUGAAAUAAAAUACACCAAUUGCGUGCGUAACCGUGACGGUCUCUUUUCGAGUGAGUCGAGAAGAGAACACGGUGGGGUUAUGUUUGAACGUAAGUAGUUCAGGAUCACUUCUUGAUCAUUACUAGUUUGCGACCGAUUGCAUAGUUUCUCAUCUCACUCUUGUACUCGUAAGUUAGCCACCAUACAAAUGCUUAGUCGCUUGAUGCGACCUCACCACUUAUCCAUUCCAUUCCCACGAAGUUUGCUAGUCUUGCUACCCAUGGUAAUGGGAUUUCUGAGUCCUUGUGGCUCACAGAUUACUACAACAACAGUUGCAGGUACAGGUAAUGCGGUGAUCUCACGUGAGAGCGAGGCUUGAUUGCUUUUGGAGUUCUUCUUCUUCGAUCAAGGGAUAGGUUCCGGGUCGAGGAGCCUGGGCUAGCAGGGUGGAUGUCGUUCUUCCAUUUCGUUUGAUUUCAUACGUAGUCGGAUCCUGCUCUUCUGUAUGACGAUUGCUAUGUAUUGAUGAACUAUUGUAUUCAUGAUGUAGCUUGUGGCGAGUGUAAGCCUUUAUCUUGUAUUCUCACCUAUUCAGUACAUGGUAUGUGUAAUAAUAUCCACCUUGCUAUGCGCUCGAAAUGCGGUUGUGCCUCAAUCAUGAAUUCAUCACGUGAUUGGGAUAGAAUCGCAUCUUGGGUGUUACACCUGAGCACAGAUGCCGUGCCAGUCCUUAAUCAUGAGGCGGUCGUGGGUCGGCUCACAAGGGCAUACGACCUUCAUGGCGAUGAAGCACCGGGCAAACAGACGAUAAUCAUAAAGCAACUCAUGGAGUAAGGUAAAGCCAGUUCUGAUAGACGCAAGAAGGAUGCAUGCCACAAGGACGGACCCAUACGGCUUGGGGAUGAUGCAGCCCGAGGGGCACCCCCAACUGAACAAACCAAGAGAUGUCACCUGGC
rnacentral:lncRNA from 1 species